CCAGAUCCCAAGAAGGACUUUACCAUUUCCGCCUGCUGUGUCUCCCGCACCGGGACGUUACUGUUAAAUAUUCCUCACAGUUCAUCUUUGCCCUCUUACUGCUCUCUGGCCCCUCCACUUCCUGUUGGUAAAGGGGCAACUCUGUUGAUUUACGGCUUGGUGAGUGAGGUAGGUGAAGGUAAUUUAUAGCCCAGGAACCCUCUGCCCGGUCUGAGCUGGACAGGACAGUCUAUUUAUACUCUUUGACAGGGGUGUCUGGGGAGCAGUGAAAGUAGCAGUGAGGAGAAAGGAGAGGAAUACCACACGACUAUGUUUGGACCACAAUGGCAGCUGGGUUGCUCGCAAGUAUUGGUUCAGAUGAGUCUCCUCAGGUCCUGUCUCCCUGGUCUGAAUCUAUAACCCAGCUAAUGAAGAGAUUAGAUCAGCUCAAUCUGUACAUAGAGGAAGCUCUCAGCGCUGGCUCUUCCCCUUCCCACACACCCAACACCACCCGGAGACACACCACUAAUGACAGAGCAUCCCUGCAGAGUGGAGCUGUAGGGGUGAACCAGUCCCUCAACUUGAACAACAUGGCUAGAAGAAACGACACAAGGGAACGGCAUGGCCAAGAGAGACAUGCGGGAGCCACUUCCUCUCAGGGGAGAUCACAUGGUAAAAAGACAGAGAUGUCCAUCAAGAAGAGGCAUGGAGGCGCAGGUGAGUUCUCAUUUUCCUUUAUGUAUCAAACUGGGCUGGCAAUAAGACAUGUUUGGAUGUAAUAGGCACAGUAAUGUUUUUUGGUGCAUUUAUCAGACUGGGUAAAUGCGUUUGACAUUUGAGGUGUAAAAGAACCUCUUGUCAUGCAGUUUCUGAAAGUUAUAGGCCUAUAUAAACUUGUAUCCCCUACAUUAAGAUAUCCUACAUAUUUUUUUCUAAUCAGUUAAGAGAUGUUCACUAAUUAGACCAGUUUAUUGUUGAGCUCUUUAAUACUUGGAC
rnacentral:lncRNA from 1 species